GAUGAACGCUGGCGGCGUGCCUAAUACAUGCAAGUCGAGCGAACAGACGAGGAGCUUGCUCCUCUGACGUUAGCGGCGGACGGGUGAGUAACACGUGGAUAACCUACCUAUAAGACUGGGAUAACUUCGGGAAACCGGAGCUAAUACCGGAUAAUAUAUUGAACCGCAUGGUUCAAUAGUGAAAGACGGUUUUGCUGUCACUUAUAGAUGGAUCCGCGCCGCAUUAGCUAGUUGGUAAGGUAACGGCUUACCAAGGCAACGAUGCGUAGCCGACCUGAGAGACUGAUGGGCGACACGGGAGCGGAACCGCGGAAAGGACGCAUGAGAGAGGAGGCAGACGGGAAGGGGCCGAAAAAGGUGAAAGCAUGACACAGCAACGCUGAGAGAGAAAAAACAAUCUUGAGGUCGUGAAGACCUUCUAUAAGGGAAAAACAGAGGUCGCAGUCACCAUGCACGGCCGGACGGUACCGAAGAAAAAAGCACCGGCUAACGACGUG
rnacentral:rRNA from 1 species